GAGUUUGAUCCUGGCUCAGAAUGAACGUUGGCGGCAUGGAUUAGGCAUGCAAGUCGAGCGAGAAGGAAAUCAAAGUUUACUUUGGUUUCCGGAAAGCGGCGCAAGGGAGAGUAACGCGUAGUUAUCUACCCCAAGGCCCGGAAUAGCUGCGGGAAACUGCAGGUAAUGCCGGAUAAUAUCCCCGGAUCAAAGGUGUGAUUCCGCCUUGGGAGGAGACUGCGUUGUACUAGCUUGUUGGUAGGGUAAUGGCCUACCAAGGCUACGAUGCAUAGCGGGCGUGAGAGCGUGGCCCGUCUCACUGGGACUGAAACACUGCCCAGACACCUACGGGUGGCUGCAGUCGAGAAUCUUCGGCAAUGGGCGAAAGCCUGACCGAGCAAUGCCGCGUGCGGGAUGAAGGCCCUCGGGUUGUAAACCGCUGUCGUAGGGGAGAAAGGUCUCAUGAAGAAUGAGAUUUGAUCUAUCCUAGGAGGAAGUCCGGGCUAAGUUCGUGCCAGCAGCCGCGGUAACACGAACCGGACAAACGUUAUUCGGAAUUAUUGGGCUUAAAGGGUGCGUAGGCGGUGCGGUAAGUGCGGUGUGAAAUCCCUCGGCUCAACCGAGGAAUUGCGCUGCAUACUGCCGUGCUGGAGGGAGACAGAGGUAAGCGGAACUGAUGGUGGAGCGGUGAAAUGCGUUGAUAUCAUCAGGAACACCGGUGGCGAAAGCGGCUUACUGGGUCUCUUCUGACGCUGAGGCACGAAAGCUAGGGUAGCGAACGGGAUUAGAUACCCCGGUAGUCCUAGCCGUAAACGAUGAGCACUUGAUUGAGGGCCCCCCCAUAGGCUCUCGAUCGCAGCGAAAGUGUUAA
rnacentral:rRNA from 1 species